GUAUGCAGGCUGGCGCCAGGCCUAACUCUUGCGCUUCGAGCGGAUGAGUGGAGCUUGCUCCAUGAUUCUGCGGCGGACGGGUGAGUAAUGCCUAGGAAUCUGCCUAUUAUUGGGGGACAACGUUUCGAAAGGAACGCUAAUACCGCAUACGUCCUACGGGAGAAAGCAGGGGACCUUCGGGCCUUGCGCUUGAUUAAUAGAUGAGCCUAGGUCGGAUUUGCUAGUUGGUGAGGUAAUGGCUCACCAAGGCGACGAUCCGUAACUGGUCUGAGAGGAUGAUCAUUCACACUGGAACUAAAGAACACGGUCCAGACUCCUACGGAGGCACGUGUGGAAUAUUGGAGUGGGGAAUAUUGGACAAUGGGCGAAAGCCUGAUCCAGCCAUGCCGCGUGUGUGAAGAAGGUCUUCGGAUUGUAAAGCACUUUAAGUUGGGAGGAAGGGCAUUAACCUAA
rnacentral:rRNA from 2 species